GGGUUGUGGCUCAGUGAUAGAGCACUUGCCUAGCAAGUGUGAGGCACUGGGUUCAAUCCUCAGAAGCACA
rnacentral:tRNA from 1 species